rnacentral:rRNA from 1 species
GACAGAGGUCCCGAGCGUUAGGCGGAAUCACUGGGCUUAAAGCGUGUGUAGGCGGAUUUGUAAGUACCUUGUGAAAUCCCACGGCUCAACCGUGGAACUGCUUGGUAUACUGCUUAUCUUGGGCCAUCUAGGGGCUACCGGAACAAGUGGUGGAGCGGUGAAAAUGCGUAGAUAUCACUUGGAACGCCAAUGGUGAAAACAGGUAGCUGGGGGAUGUGCCGACGCUGAGACACGAAAGCCAGGGGAGCGAACGGG